AAAAGUUUGAUUCUAGCUUCAAGAUUAAUAUUAAUUUAAUAAAACACAUGCAAAAUACUUACCCCUGUGAGAUCUAAUAUAUUAAAAAUACCAACUAAAUAUAAUAAAGACUUCUACUUACUAUAUAAACACCUCACGCCUGCAGUGUAUAACUCUUCUUAUUUAAUUAAAGUUAGAAUAGGUUAAAUUAUUAAUAUGUUGGCAAAAUCUGUGCCAGCAGUCGCGGUUAUACAGAAAACUCCAUUUAAUCUAUUUAGGUAUGAUUCACUGAGAUAAUUUAAAUUUACAAAGGAGUUCAAUCCAAUAUAUUUGUUAUUCCAAAAUCCUCAAAUUAAUUCGAAAGUAUAGACCAAAACAAGGAUUAGAUACCCUUUUAUUCUAAACUAUAAAUUUUUAACCUGGGCACUACGAACUCAUGUUUAAAACCCAAAGAACUUGGCGGCAAUCUAACCCCCUAGGGGAACCUGUAAUUUAAUUUGAUAAUCCCCAUGUACCUUUCUCUAUUUUGAAUUCAGCAUGUAUACUGCCGUCGUCAGUUUACCUUUAAAAAGAUAGUAAACUAAUUAAUCACACUCAUUCUCACGUCAGGUCAAAGUGCAGCUUAUAUUAGAGUAUCUAUGGGUUACAUUCUUCAUAAAGAUUACGAAUAUAGAAAUAAAUAUUUCUAUUGAAGUUGGACUUAACUGUAAAAAGAUAGAAGAAAAUCCUUUGAAUAAUGGAAAUCUAGAUUGUGCACAAAUCGCCCGUCACUCCCCUCUAAAGAGGGGAUAAGUCGUAACAUAGUAGGAGUAAUGGAAAUUGUUCCUAC
rnacentral:ncRNA from 1 species